rnacentral:rRNA from 1 species
AGAGUUUGAUCAUGGCUCAGAUUGAACGCUGGCGGCAUGCUUUACACAUGCAAGUCGAGCGGCAGCGCGGGGGCAACCCUGGCGGCGAGCGGCGAACGGGUGAGGAAUACAUCGGAACGUGCCCGAGAGUGGGGGGAUAACGCCGCGAAAGCGGCGCUAAUACCGCAUAUUCUCCGAGGAGGAAAGUGGGGGACCUGCAAGGGCCUCACGCUCACGGAGCGGCCGAUGUCGGAUUAGCUAGUUGGUGGGGUAAAGGCUUACCAAGGCGACGAUCCGUAGCUGGUCUGAGAGGAUGAUCAGCCACACUGGGACUGAGACACGGCCCAGACUCCUACGGGAGGCAGCAGUGGGGAAUUUUGGACAAUGGGGGCAACCCUGAUCCAGCCAUGCCGCGUGCGGGAAGAAGGCCUUCGGGUUGUAAACCGCUUUUAGUCGGGAAGAAAAGGCGCCAGCUAAUACUUGGCGUUCUUGACGGUACCGGCGGAAUAAGCACCGGCUAACUACGUGCCAGCAGCCGCGGUAAUACGUAGGGUGCGAGCGUUAAUCGGAAUUACUGGGCGUAAAGCGUGCGCAGGCGGUUCGUUAAGUCAGAUGUGAAAGCCCCGGGCUCAACCUGGGAACUGCAUUUGAAACUGGCGGGCUUGAGUGCGGCAGAGGGGGGUGGAAUUCCGCGUGUAGCAGUGAAAUGCGUAGAGAUGCGGAGGAACACCGAUGGCGAAGGCAGCCCCCUGGGCCGACACUGACGCUCAGGCACGAAAGCGUGGGGAGCAAACAGGAUUAGAUACCCCAGUAGUCC